GAUGAAGAACGCAGUGAAAUGCGAUACGUAAUGUGAAUUGCAGAAUUCAGUGAAUCAUCGAAUCUUUGAACGCACAUUGCGCCCUUUGGUAUUCCAAAGGGCAUGCCUGUUCGAGCGUCAUUUGUACCCUCAAGCUUUGCUUGGUGUUGGGCGUCUUGUCUCUAGCUUUGCUGGAGACUCGCCUUAAAGUAAUUGGCAGCCGGCCUACUGGUUUCGGAGCGCAGCACAAGUCGCACUCUCUAUCAGCAAAGGUCUAGCAUCCAUUAAGCCUUUUUUUCAACUUUUGACCUCGGAUCAGGUAGGGAUACCCGCUGAACUUAAGCAUAUCAAUAAGCGGAGGA
rnacentral:misc_RNA from 1 species